ACGGCCGUACCAUGCUGAAUAUACCGGUUCUCGUUAGAUCACCGAAGUCAAACAUCAUUGGGCGCGGUCAGUACUUGGGUGGGUGACCACCUGGGAACACCGCGUGCCGU
rnacentral:rRNA from 1 species